rnacentral:siRNA from 1 species
GAGCACCAAUAGCUUCAAAACACCU